AUACGUAGGGGGCGAGCGUUGUCCGGAAUGACUGGGCGUAAAGGGCGUGUAGGCGGCGGUGUAAGUCUGGAGUGAAAGUCCCGCAUUCAAUGUGGGAAUUGCUUUGGAUACUGCAGUGCUAGAGUGCGGAAGAGGUAAGUGGAAUUCCCAGUGUAGCGGUGAAAUGCGUAGAGAUUGGGAGGAACACCAGUGGCGAAGGCGACUUACUGGGCCGUAACUGACGCUGAGGCGCGAAAGUGUGGGGAGCAAACAGGAUUAGAUACCCUGGUAGUCCACACUGUAAACGAUGAAUGCUAGGUGUAGGGGGUAUCGACCCCUUCUGUGCCGCAGUUAACACAAUAAGUAUUCCACCUGGGGAGUACGGCCGCAAGGUUGAAACUCAAAUGAAUUGGCGGGG
rnacentral:rRNA from 1 species